rnacentral:rRNA from 1 species
AUAAUACUCCAUAGAUUAGAGACACUGGAAUGUUCUUUAGUCGAAAGUUCUGGCGCCUUAGGAUGGAUCUGCGGUCGAUUAGGUUGUUGUUGGGGUAACGGCCCAACAAGCCUGUAAUCGAUACGGGUUGUGGGAGCAAGAGCCCGGAGAUGGAAUCUGAGACACGAUUCCAGGCCCUACGGGGCGCAGCAGGCGCGAAAACUUUACAAUGCAGGAAACUGUGAUAAGGGAACUCCGAGUGCCCGUAUACGCGGGCUGUCCAGGUGUUUAAAAAUCAUCUGAAGAAAGGGCCGGGCAAGACCGGUGCCAGCCGCCGCGGUAAUACCGGCGGCUCGAGUGGUGGCCACUAUUAUUGGGCUUAAAGCGUCCGUAGCUGGACCGAUAAGUCUCUUGGGAAAUCCGCCGGCUCAACCGGCGGGCGUCUAAGGGAUACUGUUAGUCUAAGGACCGGGAGAGGUGAGAGGUACUCCGGGGGUAGGAGUGAAAUCCUGUAAUCCCCGGGGGACCACCGAUGGCGAAGGCAUCUCACCAAAACGGCUCCGACAGUGAUGGACGAAAGCUGGGGGAACGAACCGGAUUAAAUACCCGGGUAGUCCCAUCCGUAAACUAUUCGCGUUAGGUGU